rnacentral:rRNA from 1 species
UACGAAGGGGACUAGCGUUGUUCGGAUUUACUGGGCGUAAAGGGCGCGCAGGCGGCUCAUUUUGUCAGGCGUGAAAGCCCCGGGCUUAACCUGGGAACUGCGUUUGAUACGGAUGGGCUAGAGUUCGGGAGAGGAGAGUGGAAUUCCCAGUGUAGAGGUGAAAUUCGUAGAUAUUGGGAAGAACACCGGUGGCGAAGGCGGCUCUCUGGACCGAUACUGACGCUGAGGCGCGAAAGCGUGGGGAGCAAACAGG